rnacentral:rRNA from 1 species
GAUGAACGCUGGCGGCGUGCUUAACACAUGCAAGUCGAACGAAGCACUGAAGAAUGGAGAUUCGUCAAAGUUCUUCUUUGACUGAGUGGCGAACGGGUGAGUAAUGCGUGAGCAACCUGCCCUUCAGAGGGGGACAACAGUUGGAAACGACUGCUAAUACCGCAUGACGUGUUCGGACGGCAUCGUCUGGAUACCAAAGGAGAAAUCCGCUGAGGGAUGGGCUCACGUCUGAUUAGCUAGAUGGCAGGGUAACGGCCUACCAUGGCGACGAUCAGUAGCCGGACUGAGAGGUUGAACGGCCACAUUGGGACUGAGAUACGGCCCAGACUCCUACGGGAGGCAGCAGUGGGGAAUAUUGGGCAAUGGGCGAAAGCCUGACCCAGCAACGCCGCGUGAAGGAAGAAGGCCUUCGGGUUGUAAACUUCUUUUAACAGGGACGAAGAAGUGACGGUACCUGUUGAAUAAGCCACGGCUAACUACGUGCCAGCCGCCGCGGUAAAAC